CCUGAGAUGACUAGAUGAGAAAAGUCAAGACAAGUGGUGGCUGGCUAUACGACUCUUGUAGUCUUGUGAGAAUAGACAUCAAAAUCCCUUAGAAGUUUUACCUCAACGGCCAUCCGUUUUACUCCCUAACAUCCGUCUACGAGAAAUUACAAAAUGCCCCUACUUUGACCAAUUGUGUGGCUCUCCUCGCCCCACGUCGACAAUUGUCAGAGGCUGUAACAUACAGCCUGCGCAUUCCAGCCUCCUCCCUGUGUUAGAAUUGUAAUAAAGUUUUGUAUCUUCUUCUGUUAAACAUCAAUACAAACUACUCAUUCUCUCAUUCAAGUUGACUGUUGUGAAGUCUUACAGUGCCAAAAGGAGACGUUGAUGAAACACAUGAUAAGUCCUGGUAAAAUGAUUCGGCUGUCAUACUCUGACCCAAAGGCACUCAAACACUGGUCUUCUACUACUGACCCAAACCGAGAUGGAAUGAACAGAAACGAAGCCAGCAUUAAGUAAGCCCAUUAAAGGUAGCCAGAGUAGCUCAUAUUAUGAAAUGUGUGCUGUUGUAUUGUACCCAAGACAAAGUAACUAACAUCAAACUGAUCCCUCACUUCCUUAUGCCGCCUUGGACGUCAACCAUCGCCAAGUGAUCUCGGAUUAUCCUGACCUGCGUUACAAUUACACCUUCUAGGAAUCUGGGUGUUAUUGAGGUGAAAAGCAUGGUGGUCAGUACGUAUCAGGCUGCUAGUGGAGCUGCUGCUGCUAUGAUAGAGCUUGAGCAGCAAACUCAUGAGGUUCUGGAAGGGAAGCCAGUAACUUCUGAGAUAUUUCAGCGGCUGGUCUGUCUAUCUUUGCUCUUUGUUGUUCAAGUUUGUUUUCGGAAAAAUAGUUGUGUUCUGUUCUGUUUCCCAUGAGGUUUCAUUGAACCACCUAUAUCUGCCUUCAUUUUUGCAAUAUGCUUUAAAUUUGUUUUCCCACAGUUCAGCGGUUUUUCCAAAUGGAUAUAAUGAAGAGGAAAUGAAACUAGUCAAGAAGACACAAUAAACAUGGAAUGACAAGGAUGUCAAGGAACUGUCACUUGCAUGCGAGUUCCUGUAAUACGGGCACAUGCUGAGAGUGUAAAUUGUGAAUUUGAGAAUCUCCUUGAUGAGGACACCGCAAGGUAUAUUCGGAAGAAGGCUCCUGGUGUGGCGGUUAUUGAUGUCCAUGCAGCUAAUAACUUCCCUACACCUUUGGAGGUGUCAAACAAAGAUGAUGUUGCAGUUGGCAGAAUCAGCCAUGAUGUGUCCCAGGAGGGGAACUAUGGGUUGGACAUCUUUGUCUGCGGUGAUCAAAAACGCAAGGGAGCUGCACUUAAUGCUGUUCAGAUUGCUGAGUUGUUGCUAUAGUUAACCUAUGAUUUGAAGGGUGAGGUUUCUCACCAUCUAAUCUAUUUUCCGAGAUGAUGAAGUGAUCUGAGAUCUUCUUAGUUGUACUUUAGUCUUUAGAUGGGGUUGUGAGGUGAGACGAAGCAUAUCCAAGCAGUUUUUGUAGACUGGUUAUUCAUUUUCAAAUGCAACUGUUGACAUA